rnacentral:rRNA from 1 species
AGGUAGGGCUACCCGCUGAACUUAAGCAUAUCAAUAAGCGGAGGAAAAGAAACUAACUAGGAUUCCCUUAGUAACGGCGAGUGAACCGGGAUGAGCUCAAAUUUAAAAUCUGGCGUCUUUCAGGCGUCCGAGUUGUAAUCUAUAGAGGCGUUUUCCGCGCCGGACCGCGUCCAAGUCUCUUGGAAUAGAGUAUCAAAGAGGGUGACAAUCCCGUACUUGACGCGACAACCGGUGCUCUGUGAUACGUUCUCAAUGAGUCGAGUUGUUUGGGAAUGCAGCUCUAAAUGGGUGGUAAAUUCCAUCUAAGGCUAAAUAUUGGCGAGAGACCGAUAGCGAACAAGUACCGUGAGGGAAAGAUGAAAAGCACUUUGGAAAGAGAGUUAAACAGCACGUGAAAUUGUUAAAAGGGAAACGAUUGAAGUCAGUCGUGUGAAAGGUAUUCAGCCGUCUCUGGCGGUGUAUUUGCCUUUCACGGGUCAACAUCAGUUUGAUCCGGUAGAAAAAGGCGGGAGGAAG